rnacentral:rRNA from 1 species
AACGGGUGAGUAACACGUGGGCAACCUGCCCAAAAGAGGGGGAUAACACUUGGAAACAGGUGCUAAUACCGCAUAACCAUAGUCACCGCAUGGUAACUAUGUAAAAGGUGGCUAUGCUACCGCUUUUGGAUGGGCCCGCGACGCAUUAGCUAGUUGGUGGGGUAAAGGCUUACCAAGGCAAUGAUGCGUAGCCGAACUGAGAGGUUGAUCGGCCACAUUGGGACUGAGACACGGCCCAAACUCCUACGGGAGGCAGCAG